AAAUUUGGAUCUAACGGAGCUGGAGGUAUCCAGGGAAAUGAUCUUGGUUCUUUUUUUCAGAUAAGAGAUCUGUGAAGCUAAAUGAAACUGGAAGCUAUCACUGCUGUCCUGAACUAGUGACACUGCACUCCUCCCCAGGGAACCAGCUACAUCGAUUUAAGCUAUACUCUUAG
rnacentral:lncRNA from 1 species